UACGUAGGGUGCAAGCGUUAAUCGGAAUUACUGGGCGUAAAGCGUGCGCAGGCGGUUAUGUAAGACAGAUGUGAAAUGCCCGGGCUUAACCUGGGAACUGCAUUUGUGACUGCAUGGCUAGAGUUUGGCAGAGGGGGGGUAGAAUUCCACGUGUAGCAGUGAAAAUGCGUAGAUAUGUGGAGGAACACCGAUGGCGAAGGCAGCCCCCUGGGUCAAGACUGACGCUCAUGCACGAAAGCGUGGGGAGCAAACAGG
rnacentral:rRNA from 1 species